AUAACGGUCCUAAGGUAGCGAAAUUCCUUGUCAGGUAAGUUCUGACCCGCACGAAAGGCGUAACGAUUUGGGCGCUGUCUCAGCUGUAGACUCGGUGAAGUCUUAGUACCUGUGAAGAUGCAGGUUACCCGCGACUAGACGGAAAGACCCCAUGGAGCUUCACUGCAGGUUGAUAUUGGGAUUUGAUGCAGCAUGUACAGGAUAGGUAGGAGGCAAAGAGAUGGAUACGCCAGUAUUCAAGGAGCCGCUGUUGGGAUACUACCCCUGUUGUAUUGGAUUUCUAACCGGACGACGUAGAGCCGUUGACGGGACAGUGUCAGUCGGGCAGUUUGACUGGGGCGGUCGCCUCCCAAAGAGUAACGGAGGCGCCCAAAGAUACCCUCAGCUUGGAUGGAAACCAAGCGCAGAGUGCAAAGGCAAAAGGGUGUUUGACUGCGAGACCCACAAGUCGAGCAGGGACGAAAGUCGGGCUUAGUGAUCCGGCGGUGCUGAAUGGAAAGGCCGUCGCUCAACGGAUAAAAGCUACCCUGGGGAUAACAGGCUGAUCUCCCCCAAGAGUCCACAUCGACGGGGAGGUUUGGCACCUCGAUGUCGGCUCAUCGCAUCCUGGAGCUGAAGUCGGUCCCAAGGGUUGGGCUGUUCGCCCAUUAAAGCGGUACGCGAGCUGGGUUCAGAACGUCGUGAGACAGUUCGGUCCCUAUCUGUCGUGGGCGCAGGAAAUUUGAGAAGAGCUGUCCUCAGUACGAGAGGACCGGGAUGGACGCAUCAAUGGUGGACCAGUUGUCACGCCAGUGGCAUAGCUGGGUAGCUAAAUGCGGAAGGGAUAAACGCUGAAGGCAUCUAAGUGUGAAACCCACUUCAAGAUGAGAUUUCCCAUUGCGCAAGCAAGUAAGACCCCUUAAAGACGAUAAGGUAGAUAGGUCAGGAGUGUAAGCAUGGUGACAUGUUCAGCGGACUGAUACUAAUAGGUCGAGGACUUAACCUA
rnacentral:rRNA from 1 species